rnacentral:lncRNA from 1 species
CCUUCCCAGGGCCUAUGGUCUUGGGGAUGGGUGGGAAGGGCAGUGACUUCACUCGGAGAUGACAAGCUGUCAUUGUAAGAGCUGUCGUUCCAUUUCCGUCUUCUCAGCAAAAUACUCCUCUGGUGUAGGAAUUUUUCAAAUAGAAACUAAUUGCAGAGUUUCCAGUUGACCACCAUUCAUAGGGUAAGACUAACGUUCUGAAUUGUGAACACGUGGUAAAGAUAAUUACUCUUAACAUUGGUAGCUUGGGGCAAAUACUGAAUACUUAGUAUGUAAAAAGAGAUUGUUAUUUCGACCGACAUUUUGAAUAAAAUCUUUUUUACGUUUUUCAGCCAGUUAAUAAACAAA